AUGAGAUAUCUUCUCUUAACCCUCUAGCCGCGACUGAUCUUCAUAUUAGAAAAUCAUAAUCGUUGUAACCGUAGUGUUAAAUUACCCCGGUGGUGAGUAUGAGUUCGAGACACCGAGUAGAGGUGAUUACAUUUACAACUGUAACAAUUUUAUUGGAAUUUAAACGUGCGUGUAUCAUAACGCCUUGUAGGAAUUUUCUAUACAAAAAUCGUUUAAAGUUCUAUAGGUUUAUCAUAAGGAUAAUAACGUGACCUGACGAAAUUUGCAGAAUAAAUAGAUAUAUUUAUUAAUGGGACAUGUAGAUGCGAUUUGAGCAUCGCCCACGACUGGAAGAUUAAUCUUUCCGCUCUGGAGUGCAUACGUCAUAGAGGAACAUUCAAAAGUACAAAAUAUAAAGCUAGAAAUUGUUAAGCUUUAUAAUUAUCAGAACGACAUAUGAAUCGUUAUGUAUCUUCCGCUUGUCAAAUUUAUUAUACGAGCAGCACUAUACUAACUAUGUUAACCAAUAGGUGAAUCCAAAAUCCAUACGAAACGACUUGUUUUAAAAUUUGGAAAACGACAUAGUUGUUGAAGCUAAUCGAGUAAAAAUGUUGCCGUGCAAGGUAACAUGAAAGACAACGUGCACACGAGCAUUGUUCAUAAUCUUGGAUUACAUGAAAAUAUAGUAUUGUAGCGCUGGAUGAUUACGUUACGGAUAAUUUUCAUGAAAUUAUGAAUUUGCAUGGAGAUCAACAGACUGUUCAUUAGUGCAAUUAACAGGAGAUAAUUAAUGAGGAACACGGAAUAUUUCUAGUAUUUUAGUUUCGUGUUUGUUGAGUGUUUUUGGAUACAAGACUUGACGAAUUAAAAGUGUUUCUUUUAUUUUACUCUUUUAUGUGAUUUUUGACUCUGAGAAUGGAACACUUGUAGUACACUGUGCAGUGAAAUGGUAAUAAUUAAUGAACAGUGUUUACUAAUAAAGUUAGAAUAUGGCAAAAAACUAUGACAAAUGAAAAUGCUAUGACAAUCGCGGUUUACCUUUUUUGUGUGAGUGUUAGUUUGUUUAUUCUCUUUAUUAGGAAAAGUCCAGUCAUAAUUUAACAUAUAUAAAAAGUAAAACAAAUUAAUUCUGUAUCACGAAUGUAAAUUAAAUUUUGCUCUAGACUCUGAGAAAUGGGUUUCCUCUAAAUAUAUAUUUUAAUUUCAAACUAUAAUAGAACGAAGUGUUAUUAUAAAAACGAGAUUUCAGAAUGAAUCGCAUCUGUAUUAACGUGGCCUAUUGUAUUUAUUUUUGGUGUGUUCUUUGAAUUUUUCCAUCGAUAACAAAUUGUUUAACUUUGAGAAACACACGAAAUAAUCGUUAUUUGUAUGCCUCCUCUUUUGUUUCAAUUUCUUGCGAGUGAUUUCGUUAAAACGAGAAUAAAAUUCGGAACAAAUUCAAGUCAAAAUUAUUCGAAGACUGCAGCAGGAUUAAAGGAAAGAAAAGAAAUAAUCGUAAAGAAGUUUUAUCGCCAAUUUAUGUUAAUAAUUUUCAAUUAGAUUUACAUGUAUAUUUGUUAUCAGCAAUUCUAAUCAUUUUAUUAAUGUUAUAUAACGAAUAAAUGUGUGACUACCGAACAGAUUUUCAAAUAAAUAUUACACUGUCAGGGAGAGCAUAUUCGUCGAGAGUAUAUUGAUAAGGCUUAACACAUUGUGAAUUGUUUAGAAAAAUGAUGUUUUUAGGAACAAAUUUGCACGCACAUACGUGCGUCAAUAGCAUUUACGUGAACUCAAUCUGUCGGAUGUAUCUAUACGCCCACAGUAACAAAACAGUUGACCAUUAUAUUUUACUCCUACGUAAAGAUCAAACUGACAACUGCAAACAGAAUAGUUUUGUAUCAAUGGAAUUGUUCUUCUGUCAUACAUUUCAUGCUAAAUGUUUGUCUCUUCCUCUAUCUGCAAACUCAAUUAGAGAUGGAAUCCCGUUAAUUCUAAACUGCGAAUAAAUGAAAAAAAAUAUAAUAUUUCUAUAUUCGAUCAUGCUAUUGUCCCGAGUGAACAAUUAAAGAUAUUGUUUAGAUUUCAAUUUCAUACCACUUGAUUUCGGAAUGUUA